UGCGUAGGCUGCUUGAUAAGUCAGACGUGAAAUCCCUCGGCUCAACCGGGGAACUGCGUUUGAUACUGUCGAGCUAGAGUCCUGGAGAGGGUGGCGGAAUUCCUGGUGUAGGAGUGAAAUCCGUAGAUAUCAGGAGGAACACCGGUGGCGAAGGCGGCCACCUGGACAGGUACUGACGCUGAGGUACGAAAGCGUGGGGAGCAAACA
rnacentral:rRNA from 1 species